rnacentral:lncRNA from 1 species
GGGUUAUCUGUGCCCUCUGAUCUCAGUGCAACAGCUUUUGCCAGUGGGGCGCAGCAGCCCGAAGAAAGAAGGCAAAGGAAUGAGGAUUCCUUUGCAUGCUCCAUCACAGAGUGACCUCCAGGAUCCUAGGGCCACUCCUGUCUGCUCCCUGUCCGGCUCCUGUCAUUAGGCUUCAUGCCCUCAACCAGAAAGAGUUCGCUAUCUGGGAGGAAGGAGUUCUAGGUAUCAUAGACUGCUGUGGUCUUGCUGGAGACAACGCCAUCCCUGAGAUAAAGCCUACCAAAAUGGCAAAAGAACCCUAUGAAGGUUUAUUAUAGUCAUAUGUAGAUGAGCUAAAAAGUUAUUACUCCAAGCUGAAAGUCACUUCAAGAAAUAGAACCAUUGCUAACAGAAGACAGCCAGAUAUGGAUUCCUGGGACACGCUGUGUCCUGUGAACAUCCACUGUUGGAAAUCCAGCCCAACAAUACACUCACCAGAUGAGCUGAGCCAGGAGAAGUGAGGGGAGGACACCACAGGAGAGAAAGGACUCAGAGUCCUGCCAAUACCUGGGGUGAGUAGUCUCAGGCACAUAUGCUCUUAUAUUUGUUUCACUGCCAUUACUCUGAAAUCUGAGCCUUUUCUUGACAUAAAUUCUGGGGCUAUUUGUGAAAGAAUGGGCCCCUAGGUCGCUCAGUUUAUAAACCACAAGGUAUGGAGAUGGGAGGUCCUGGUUUCAAAUCUGACCUCAGACACAUCCUAUCUGUGUGACCCUGGGCAAGUUGCCUAACCCUUUCUGCUCUUCUGCCUUAGAACUAAUACUCAGUGUUUAUUCAAAGAUAGAAGAUAAGGGUUUAAAAAAAGAAGAGUGUGCC